GAGUGUGGCUGCUUCGUUCUUUCUUCUAGUUGUAGACACCUCGAGUUGUCAUUUACGAAUAUGGUGCAACUCGUCAAGUUUGAUGACACUGUUACAGUUUCCCGUUUGCGGACUAGCAAUUUGAAAGCAAUUCUAGCUCGGAUUCUGGAUUCUGCAACUUCCGCAUACCGUAACUUCUCACGCUCAAAGGAAUGCGGAGAGAAUCAGUAGAAAAGCAAGAAAAUCGCUUGUUUUCUGUGACAAAACUAGAGGCCUUCGAACGCUUUGUUUGAUGACGCCAUCAUG